rnacentral:rRNA from 1 species
UGGGGAAUAUUGCACAAUGGGCGAAAGCCUGAUGCAGCAACGCCGCGUGAGUGAUGAAGGCCUUCGGGUUGUAAAGCUCUGUCUUCUGGGACGAUAAUGACGGUACCAGAGGAGGAAGCCACGGCUAACUACGUGCCAGCAGCCGCGGUAAUACGUAGGUGGCAAGCGUUGUCCGGAUUUACUGGGCGUAAAGGAUGCGUAGGCGGAUACUUAAGUCAGAUGUGAAAAUCCCGGGCUUAACUUGGGAACUGCGUUUGAAACUGGGUAUCUAGAGUGCGGGAGAGGACAGUGGAAUUCCUAGUGUAGCGGUGAAAUGCGUAGAGAUUAGGAAGAACACCAGUGGCGAAGGCGACUUUCUGGACCGUAACUGACGCUGAGGCAUGAAAGCGUGGGGAGCAAACA